rnacentral:lncRNA from 1 species
AGCCCUGUUUUAUAAAAUAUUAAUGGGCAAGCUCCAGUAACUGAUCCUGAGAUGUGUUAGACACCUUUUCGUUCUGCUUCUUACAUUUUGGUUUGUCCGGAAGACAUACCGCUUUCAUAAUCUGACAUGGUAGUUCAAAUAUUAUUUCGCGCAAUCCUAUCCCCGGUGCCACAACUAAAGCACCGUAUACAUUUUGUAUGGAAGCGUUAAUUGACCCCCGAGUUGACGUGAAAAUGACGGACAUGUCAGGAUAGAUUAUCUUGACAUAUCGUGCAAUAUCGUGGCAUCUCGAAAAUUAUUAAGACGACACGCCAGAACUGAUUCUUGUCUUGUUGACAAAGUUUCUACCACUGGUCAUAAUUUAUGCUACGCUUACCUAAAUUUACUCGAUUGUUGACAUAACUGGCGUCUUACAAAAUUGUUUCACACAGGAAAAUAGGACGGCAUGCAACAUAAUCAAAUAGACGUCAUCCAAAAAUUAUGUGAAAAUGUAAAUAACGUUCUAGUUUAUGUUAAUAUACUGUGAUAUACUUUGUUUUCUUGUAAAAUAUUUACACGUCGUGAUCCGAUACCUUUGUAUUAUUUAAAAAAAUUAAGCAAAAUGUCGGUAGUUUUGUAUUAGCUUUGGAAUUCUGCCGUUUUCGUUGGAAGCAAUGGCUGCAUAAAACUACGUUAUAUGUUUGCCUGUUCUUUUGUGAAAGCUGUGUUACCUGGUUUGGUGUCAACAAGUUCAAAGAUGUGUUACUUACUUAAUAUUUCCGGCUUGGAUAUAUACUUGGAAAGUUACAGUUUAUUUUAUAUUUUACACAUAACAUUGCGAUAAGUCUUCGACAUGCAAGACAAACUGUCGGACGCCUUGGGGUGAGGAGAUAUAGGGCUGGUUCUACGUCAACUUGUGUAAUAAAUGAAGUGAGAAAGCUUUGCAACAGAUGGCAUAAUAUGGAAAAUGUUUAAGUCAUCAGACAGAGUGAAAGAAUCGCAAGAAAUAGCCAGGCAUACAUUAAAGACCAUCGGUACGUUGAUGUGAUUUGAAAACGUCUGUUAUCCCCGCCAGGUGAAACCCUAACAAAGGCAACAGAAGGAUACUUUUUGCAAGUGCUCGAAAACAAACUGGAUUCAUUUGGACAAAGAAAAGUUUGAAUAGUCAAGUAACACUUUUGUUCAGUGCAAAACAAUGUACCUUAACAGGUUGUAGAUGUAUAUAUGUAAUGCUUCUUUUAGAAAUAUACAAAACUACCGUUUAGUGUC